GCCAUUGGUGGACCAUACCAAAGAGCAGCUUGGCCAUGAGUUGUAUGCACCUAGUGCACGAGUGCAUGUGAUAAAAAAAGAGAGUAGCCGUUUAGAUUCAUAUAAGACGAGAGAAAAGUGGGAGAGAUUUAAAAAGAGGGCUCGGGUUUAAAGUUAUUCUGUUGCAGAAGAGGAGUCAAAUGUAAUAUCUUAUUUAAUGAAUCUUAUUUUAUCCGCAUAUUUUUUGUUUUGGUUUCUCUCUUUUAUAAUUGUAUCAGUUUUUACUGAGGAGACGGGUUUAUGGCAAAAAUUCGAUUUGACGCUUCCGUUGCAAAAUUCCAACAACUAAUACUGGAUUAAUAGCAGUCAGUAUCAGAGCGGAUUACGGAUUCUCAAGAUCUAGUAU
rnacentral:lncRNA from 1 species